UGGGGAGGAGGAGUCAGAUCUAUGGAACUAAGUGCUACUAAUUUCUUAUUUCUUCUAGUUUCCCUUGAGUAAAAAUACAGACUCAAAGCCAAGCUCACCCCAGGCAGCUUUCUGCUGCCAAUCUCACCAUUCUGAGCUUUCCAUGUGCAGAUGCAACCACUCGAGACUGCAAAGGACUUACUGGAGCCUCACCACAAUUCUGCAAAGAAGGCAAUAGAGACUGCAAGGCAAUAGUAAAAAGUAAAAGCAAAGACAACCAGCUUCCAGUCUCAGAAGGCAAUCUGGUUCUGCAGUUUCCCAAACUACAUGGAAUUCUUCCUAAAAGGAUUAAGAUCCAGCAUUGACUGGAAGUCAUAGCAUCACUUUCAGGUGAGAACCCAAACCAACUUGACUGGGUAACCACAAACUGUUCUGAAUGCAAAGGGAUGGGAGUACUUCACCCUUUCCCUUUUCUUAUAGGAUUAAUCCCUCUGCCCUGGACCCACACUCAGAAUGAGUUUAGGUCAUUGAGUAACUCCAAAGGAGCAAAAAGAAAAAAAGAAAAAGAAAAUCAAGCUUCUUACUUCAGGAAAGCUGAGUACCUACCACAAUUCUAGCAUCUGUGAGACCCUCUAGAUGAGGAAUACAAACCUGAGGUCACCCAGAAAUCAUCCUCUUGUCCUCUGCUCUUCCCCUAACCAGGAGAAACUUCUGGCCCCAGACUCAGGUCUCUUCUUCUCCUUAUACUCAAGCCAAGACACUGUUCUUCCCUCCUGCAGCUAUUGUUCACAAUUAAGAAGAUACAUAAAUAAAAAGCUGUUAAAAGAGGUCAAAGAAAGUAAAGAGUUAGGGGAGAAGAAGGAAGCCAAAGAAAGCACUUAAUAAAGGAUGUUUUGUUUGGCUUCUAAUCUGUGAUAUAAUAGAUAAGGUCUACCAAGGUUGUACCAUGGAGAAUCAAGAUGGUAGCAGCUGUAAAGUUUCAGGCAUAGAAGAAGCUUUCCUAAGGCAUGCAAAUGACAUGCUAGCACAGGAAAUGUGUGUCACAAACUCAGGAAACAGAGUUGCAUUCUCAAUUACUCCAGAAUGGCAGAAAAGUUUUGUUGUAGAAAGUACAUUGGACUUGGACC
rnacentral:lncRNA from 1 species